AUCAAAAUCGAACAUAUCAAAGCAACGAUGCUCGCGAUGAUACCUAUGAAGUGCAACCUUCGCGUCGAUGGAUUCGAGUGUUGCAUCAUGUAGAAAGGCCAGAACUCCUCAAAGCUUCUGAAAUUCAUCUUCUCUAUCAAAUUAAAACCCUAAUUUUGUGAUCCUUAUUCGAUAUUGAUCUCGAGCUUUCUUCUGGGUUUGGUUGGUGAAAGCGAGAGAUUUAGAAGAGGAAACGAACAAG